rnacentral:rRNA from 1 species
AAAAGACUCUCGGCAACGGAUAUCUCGGCUCAUGCAUCGAUGAAGAACGUAGCAAAAUGCGAUACUUGGUGUGAAUUGCAGAAUCCCGUGAACCAUCGAGUUUUUGAACGCAAGUUGCGCCCGAAGCCAUCCGGUUGAGGGCACGCCUGCCUGGGCGUCACG